rnacentral:rRNA from 1 species
AAGUCGUGCGACAGACCAGGAAUUGAUUACUUCGGUUUGAUUUUCCUGACGAUGAGCGGCGAACGGGUGCGUAACACGUGAGAAACCUGCCUUAAAGUUCGGGAUAGCUCGGCGAAAGUCGAAUUAAUACCGGAUGUGGCCUAGGGAUAGCAUUUUUCCUUGGUUAAAGCUCGGUCACAGAGCGCUUUUAGAUGGUCUCGCGGUCUAUCAGCUUGUUGGUGAGGUAACGGCUCACCAAGGCUACGACGGAUAACUGACCUGAGAGGAUGAUCAGUCACACUGGAACUGAGACACGGUCCAGACACCUACGGGUGGCAGCAGUCGAGAAUCAUUCACAAUGGGCGCAAGCCUGAUGGUGCGACGCCGCGUGGGGGAUGAAGGGCUUCGGUCUGUAAACCCCUGUCAUCUGUGAGUAAGGCCUCGUAUAAAAGUUACGAGGAUUGAUAUUAGCAGAAGAGGAAGGGACGGCUAACUCUGUGCCAGCAGCCGCGGUAAUACAGAGGUCCCAAGCGUUGUUCGGAUUUACUGGGCGUAAAGGGUGCGUAGGCGGUUAGAAAAGUUUGGUGUGAAAUCUUCGGGCUCAACCCGGAAACUGCACUGAAAACUAUUUAACUCGAGGAUCGGAGAGGAGAUUGGAAUUCUCAGUGUAGCAGUGAAAUGCGUAGAUAUUGAGAGGAACACCAGUUGCGAAGGCGGAUCUCUGGACGAUUCCUGACGCUGAGGCACGAAAGCUGGGGGAGCGAAGAGGAUUAGAUACCCUCGUAGUCCCAGCCGUAAACGGUGCGCACUUGCUGUGGGCGGAUUCGACCCCGUCCGUGCGAAGCUAACGCGUUAAGUGCGCCGCCUGGGGAGUACGGUCGCAAGAUUAAAACUCAAAGAAAUUGACGGGGGCCUGCACAAGCGGUGGAGUAUGUGGCUUACUUCGACGCACGCGAAGAACCUUACCAGGUCUUGACAUCCUGCGAACUUUCUAGAGAUAGAUGUGCUCGGGAACGCAGUGACAGUGCUGCAUGACUGUCGUCAGCUCGUGUCGUGAGAUGUGGGUAGUCCCGUACGAGCGCAAUCAUUGUCUAGUGCAGCGCGUAUGGCGGAACUCUAAGGAAACUGCGUGACAAUCUGAGAAAGUGGACACUCAGUCAUCAUGGCCUUACAACUGGGCUACCACCGUGCUUCAAUGUCA